rnacentral:rRNA from 1 species
UACAGAGGGUGCAAGCGUUGUUCGGAAUUACUGGGCGUAAGGCGCGUGUAGGCGGCGUCGUUAGUCGGAUGUGAAAGCCCUCGGCUCAACCGAGGAAGUGCAUCCGAUACUGCGAUGCUUGAGUGUUGGAGGGGGUGGCGGAAUUCCCGGUGUAGAGGUGAAAUGCGCAGAUAUCAGGAGGAAUACCAGCGGCGAAGGCGGCGCUCUGGGCCGGUACUGACGCUGAGGAGCGAAAGCGUGGGGAGCAAACAGG